rnacentral:misc_RNA from 1 species
AACCCUCAAAAUCCUUUUUCUUUUUUGGGAAAAGGAUUUUGGACUUGGAGGUUCAAUGCUUGCUCUCACUUUUGAAUGCGAGCUCCUCCCAAAUGAAUCAGUGGGGUCCGCUUUGCUGAUCCUUGACGUGAUAAGAUGUUUCUACGUUUUGGAUUUGGCACUGUCCCUUGCUUCUAACAGUCCCUUGGACGAUGAUGGUGCUCCGGUCGCCGCCACCUUAUGCUGGCGGGAGGCUGGGCCCACAAAAA